rnacentral:lncRNA from 1 species
CCUGCAGUGCCUAACUUUACCAACUCAUCCAUAGCUAAACGCGCAUGCUCGAUGAUUUCGGUUUUCAUUGGCUCAGCAAAUAUUGAGAACCCAAAAAUAAGGUCACUCGCUCGUUGCAUGUUGAAUCCAGCACUCAAAAUCUCGUCUGUGGAACAACAGUCCCACAAAGUAGCAUUAGCAUCUGCAGACUGUUCAGAAGAAAAUGCCAAGGAUCCACUGCCAAUAUUAUUAUUCUGUGAGAUAUCAUUCUGUGAUGAUAAAUGAAACCAAGAAAAAAAAAGCAUUAGUUUGAUGGCUAAUACAAUUUGCAAAUGAACUCAAUUUAUGAAGUUAUAAUACACAAUAUAUAUAUAGCCAUAAGACUAGGAAUUAUGUUUCAGUGGUAAAUUUACUACUUGUGUUGUGAACCUGCAGUUAGCUUUCUGGGGUAAAAGCUUUUUCUGUUGGGAGGGAUAUUAAGGGCUGAUACGUGACUUAGGAUCUCGAAUAGAAGUAGGCAGCAGUAGAAAGACUGUAUAGUGUAUGGAUUUGUACAUGGGUUUUGGCAUUCCUUGUGCCAUUGAUAAGAUAUUCUAUUUUGCUGAUACAAAUAAAUAAAAAAUAGCCAUAAGACUGAAUUAGAAAUCAAUCUCAUCAAACAACUGCCAUUUCGAUACAGAAGUCAUUGAUUAUGAUAAAAUGAAAACAAACCAAAAAAAAAAUUAUUUGGGUCACAAGUUUGAUAAAUAGGAAUAUAUUGUCCCGAUCAAGGCAAGUCAGUAACAUCUACUACAAUGAGGGGGGAAUGAUGAAGAAGAAUUCCUGAAAACAAAAGGUGUUUAAUUGCGUGACAAAAGAAUAAAGAUUACGGAUUAGUCACCUGCAACUAAAUUUAUUGUUUCUCCUAUAACAACUAAAUCACAUGAUUCUAGGAAUAUGGUAAAUUCAAAUUCUCGAUUAUCCAAGAACAAAUAGAUGACUUGAUUUUAGGAAUUUGGUAAAUUCAUAUUCUUGUUUCUCCUAGAUCACUUGAUUUCAGGAAUUUGGUAACAAAAAAAAUGCUGAAUAGAAGGUGCAAUGUUAUAUGAAUUUCAAAAUUUACGUACCAUGUACAUCACGUCGAGAUCAUCUACUCUAAUCUGACUGUCAUGCACUCCUUCAUUACCCAUGGCCAUAGUCGUAAUCUAAAAUUUCUGUGUUCAGUUAUUUUAAAUCAAUUAUCUAGACAACUCUGUCUGUAACAAAUUCACUAAGAAAAAAUGAAAUGAUCUAUUAAUUGAAACCAUAGAAAAAGGUCUAUCCUUCGUUGUAAAACCCUAUUUGCUGAAAAAUCACGUUAGAAUUCCGAUACUUACGAUCUGAUAUGUGACGAGAGAAAAACGAAGGCAACUAAGCAAUACUCCGAUUCAGAUUCAGAAGCAUGGAGUGCUUGAAGAGUGACGAACUUGAUUGUGAUGGUUAAUUACGUAGAUGGAAAUAUGACGUUGAUAUGGUGAUAGCGUUUCAUUGAAG